AUGAACGCUGGCGGCGUGCCUAAUACAUGCAAGUCGAGCGAACGGACGAGAAGCUUGCUUCUCUGAUGUUAGCGGCGGACGGGUGAGUAACACGUGGAUAACCUACCUAUAAGACUGGGAUAACUUCGGGAAACCGGAGCUAAUACCGGAUAAUAUUUUGAACCGCAUGGUUCAAAAGUGAAAGACGGUCUUGCUGUCACUUAUAGAUGGAUCCGCGCUGCAUUAGCUAGUUGGUAAGGUAACGGCUUACCAAGGCAACGAUGCAUAGCCGACCUGAGAGGGUGAUCGGCCACACUGGAACUGGAACCCGGUCCAGACUCCUACGGGAGGCAGCAGUAGGGAAUCUUCCGCAAUGGGCGAAAGCCUGACGGAGCAACGCCGCGUGAGUGAUGAAGGUCUUCGGAUCGUAAAACUCUGUUAUUAGGGAAGAACAUAUGUGUAAGUAACUGUGCACAUCUUGACGGUACCUAAUCAGAAAGCCACGGCUAACUACGUG
rnacentral:rRNA from 1 species